UACAGAGGGGGCAAGCGUUGUUCGGAAUUACUGGGCGUAAAGGGUCUGUAGGUGGCUUGCUAAGUCAGACGUGAAAUCCCUCAGCUUAACUGGGGAACUGCGUCUGAUACUGAUGAGCUUGAGUGCAGGAGAGGAACGCGGAAUUCCAGGUGUAGCGGUGAAAUGCGUAGAUAUCUGGAGGAACACCGGUGGCGAAGGCGGCGUUCUGGACUGCAACUGACACUGAGAGACGAAAGCCAGGGGAGCAAACGGG
rnacentral:rRNA from 1 species